UACGAAGGGGGCUAGCGUUGCUCGGAAUCACUGGGCGUAAAGGGUGCGUAGGCGGGUCUUUUAAGUCAGGGGUGAAAUCCUGGAGCUCAACUCCAGAACUGCCUUUGAUACUGAAGAUCUUGAGUUCGGGAGAGGUGAGUGGAGCUGCGAGUGUAGAGGUGAAAUUCGUAGAUAUUCGCAAGAACACCAGUGGCGAAGGCGGCUCACUGGCCCGAUACUGACGCUGAGGCACGAAAGCGUGGGGAGCAAACAGGG
rnacentral:rRNA from 1 species